AAAUUGAAGAGUUUGAUCAUGGCUCAGAUUGAACGCUGGCGGCAGGCCUAACACAUGCAAGUCGAACGGUAACAGGAAGAAGCUUGCUUCUUUGCUGACGAGUGGCGGACGGGUGAGUAAUGUCUGGGAAACUGCCUGAUGGAGGGGGAUAACUACUGGAAACG
rnacentral:rRNA from 1 species